GACGAACGCUGGCGGCGUGCUUAACACAUGCAAGUCGAACGGAAAGGCCCUGCUUUUGUGGGGUGCUCGAGUGGCGAGCGGGUGAGUAACACGUGAGUAACCUGCCCUUGACUUUGGGAUAACUUCAGGAAACUGGGGCUAAUACCGGAUAGGAGCUCCUGCUGCAUGGUGGGGGUUGGACAGUUUCGGCGGUUGGGGAUGGACUCGCGGCUUAUCAGCUUGUUGGUUGGGUAGUGGCUUACCAAGGCUUUGACGGGUAGCCGGCCUGAGAGGGUGACCGGCGACAUGGGGACUGAGGGACGGAGCAGACUGCAACGGGAGGCAGCAGGGGGGAGUAUUGCACAAUGGGCGGAAGCGUGAUGCAGAGACGCCGCGUGCGGGAUGACGGCCUUCGGGGUGUAAACCGCUUUCGCCUGUGACGAAGCGGGAGUGACGGUAAUGGGUAAAGAAGCACCGGCUAACUACGUG
rnacentral:rRNA from 1 species